rnacentral:rRNA from 1 species
GACGAACGCUGGCGGCGUGCUUAACACAUGCAAGUCGAACGGAAAGGCCCUGCUUUUGUGGGGUGCUCGAGUGGCGAACGGGUGAGUAACACGUGAGUAACCUGCCCUUGACUUUGGGAUAACUUCAGGAAACUGGGGCUAAUACCGGAUAAGAGCUCCUGCUGCAUGGUGGGGGUUGGAAAGUUUCGGCGGUUGGGGAUGGACUCGCGGCUUAUCAGCUUGUUGGUGGGGUAGUGGCUUACCAAGGCUUUGACGGGUAGCCGGCCUGAGAGGGUGACCGGCCACAUUGGGACUGAGAUACGGACCAGACUCCUACGGGAGGCAGCAGUGGGGAAUAUUGCACAAUGGGCGGAAGCCUGAUGCAGCAACGCCGCGUGCGGGAUGACGGCCUUCGGGUUGUAAACCGCUUUCGCCUGUGACGAAGCGUGAGUGACGGUAAUGGGUAAAGAAGCACCGGCUAACUACGUG